UAGUCUGGAUACCACUUGGAAACAGGUGCUAAUACCGGAUAAGAAAGCGGAUCGCAUGAUCAGCUUUUAAAAGGCGGCGUAAGCUGUCGCUAUGGGAUGGCCCCGCGGUGCAUUAGCUAGUUGGUAAGGUAAAGGCUUACCAAGGCGAUGAUGCAUAGCCGAGUUGAGAGACUGAUCGGCCACAUUGGGACUGAGACACGGCCCAAACUCCUACGGGAGGCAGCAGCC
rnacentral:rRNA from 1 species